rnacentral:rRNA from 1 species
ACUACGGGUGGCUGCAGUAGGGAAUCUUCCACAAUGGACGAAAGUCUGAUGGAGCAACGCCGCGUGAGUGAAGAAGGGUUUCGGCUCGUAAAGCUCUGGUGGUAGUGAAGAAAGAUAGAGGUAGUAACUGGCCUUUAUUUGACGGUAAUUACUUAGACAGUCACGGCUAACUACGUGCCGGCAGACGCGGUAAUACGUAGGUGGCAAGCGGUGUCCGGAUAUAUUGGGCGUAAAGCGAGUGCAGGCGGUGCAAUAAGUCUGAUGUGAAAGCCUUCGGCGCAACCGGAGAAUUGCAUCAGAAACUGUUGAACUUGAGUGCAGAAGAGGAGAGUGGAACUCCAUGUGUAGCGGUGGAAUGCGUAGAUAUAUGGAAGAACACCAGUGGCGAAGGCGGCUCUCUGUUCUGCAACUGACGCUGAGGCUCGAAAGCAUGGGUAGCGAACAGGAUUAGAUACCCUGGUAGUC